rnacentral:tRNA from 1 species
GCCGGAGUGGUGAAAUUGGCAGACACACGGGACUCAAAAUCCCGCGGGACUCAAAUCUCAUGUCGGUUCGACCCCGACCUCCGGCA